UGUAUGAAGGUAGAACACUGCAGAAGAUCGAUUUUCUGGAAUCUUCCAAGAUCUUCCAUCUACAUCAGAGAUAUGGACAGACAUAUCUGAAAGAUCAACGGGUCAGAUGGGGGACCUCACAACUGAAUAUUUCAUGAUCAAAUCAAUGCAAUUUUAUAAAUAAUACUUUUGAAAACAAUCAAUACAAAAGUACAUUAACCCAGCCGAAACUCCCAAAGAACAAGCAGCAGCACCAUGGUGAAGAUCCAAACUAUUUUCAAGGAAUAACCUUACUCAGAGAAGAGCCAAAUUCUUUUCUGGCUGUACCAGUUUGAAGUUUGGAGUAGAUUUGACCAUUUAGGUUAGACUGUUCCAGAUGAAGCAACAAGGGUCAUUGUCUUAGCAAACAUUUGCUGAGCCCUAAGGGCAGGGUCAAGAGUCGGCGUGGGGACGAACCUGGGGCUGAUCCUGGAGUCAACGUGGGACCCUCUGAGGAAACACAGCCUCCUGGUCCAUCUCAGUGCGUUGACUACCAGUUGGGUGUUCCUGGAGUGGUAGUCUAUGACCAGUGGACAUCUCCCAUGAACCAGGCACCUCUUCAUGGAUCUUCAUUGAUUGAUUGAUUGACUGAUUAAUUUAUGAUAUGUCUACUGGAGACUGAAACAUGUGAUAAAAGUUAACACACAUGGUGAGAUGUCAGUUAAUAUUUGGGUGCGUCAUGUGACAGGGCUGUCAAAAAGAGAACACAGUUGAACCCACCCGUUUCCAACCCAGUCAGAAAGUGAUUCUACACUCAUUUCACUCACACAUUACACUAUGUUUAGACUAGGGCCCUGUGCUUUGCACAAUUUUGUGACAUACCGUAGCAAGAUUUCGUCCUGUAUUUAAGCCUUAUCCAGAAAUGAGAAUUACAGAAAAAAUGAAAGCAAUUGUCUAAUGAUGGUGCUGUAGAAUGUGACAUAAAAGAAAAGGUUUGAUGAAAAAGCUCUCAAUAAAUGUUCAAAUCCAGGCAUAU